ACGAACGCUGGCGGCAUGCCUCACCCAUGCAAGUCGCACGAGACCUUCGGGUCUAGUGGCGCACGGGUGCGUAACGCGUGGGAACCUGCCCUUAGGUUCGGAAUAACUCCCCGAAAGGGGUGCUAAUACCGGAUAAUGUCUUCGGACCAAAGAUUUAUCGCCUUUGGAUGGGCCCGCGUUGGAUUAGCUAGUUGGUAGGGUAAAAGCCUACCAAGGCGACGAUCCAUAGCUGGUCUGAGAGGAUGAUCAGCCACACUGGGACUGAGACACGGCCCAGACUCCUACGGGAGGCAGCAGUGGGGAAUAUUGGACAAUGGGCGAAAGCCUGAUCCAGCAAUGCCGCGUGAGUGAUGAAGGCCUUAGGGUUGUAAAGCUCUUUUACCCGGGAUGAUAAUGACAGUACCGGGAGAAUAAGCUCCGGCUAACUCCGUG
rnacentral:rRNA from 1 species